rnacentral:rRNA from 1 species
GAGCUUGCUCUUAAAUCUUAGGUGGCGGACGGUGAGUAACACGUGAGCAACCUGCCUCUGAGAGAGGGAUAGCUUUCUGGAAACGGAUGGUAAUACCUCAUAACAUAGCUGGACCGCAUGAUCCGGUUAUCAAAGAUUUUAUCACUCAGAGAUGGGCUCGCGUCUGAUUAGCUAGUUGGUGAGGUAACGGCCCACCAAGGCGACGAUCAGUAGCCGGACUGAGAGGUUGAACGGCCACAUUGGGACUGAGACACGGCCCAGACUCCUACGGGAGGCAGCAGUGAGGGAUAUUGCACAAUGGAGGAAACUCCUGAUGCAGCGAUGCCGCGUGGAGGAAGAAGGUUUUCGGAUUGUAAACUCCUGUUUCGAGGGACGAUAAUGACGGUACCUCGGGAGGAAGCUCCGGCUAACUACGUGCCAGCCGCGGC